ACAUUUUAAUAUGAAAAAUAUAUAUAUAUAAGGAAUUAGACAAAAUAAAUAUAUUCACCUGUUUAUCAAAAACAUGUCUUAUUGAGAAUAAUUUUAAGUCAAUCUGCCCAAUGAAUAAUUUAAUGGCUGCAGUAUAACUGACUGUACAAAGGUAGCAUAAUCAAUUGAUUUUGAAGUGAAAUCUGGAAUUAAAGGUUUAAUGAAAUAUACACUGUCUCAUGUAUAAAUUGUAAAUUUAAAAUUUUAAUAAAAAUGUAAAAAUUUUCUUAUGGGACGAUAAGACCCUAUAGAAUUUUAUAUUAAUUUUAUUUUUGUGUUUAAUAUAAAAUUUAAAUUGAUAUUUGAUUGGGAGAGUUAUUAAAUUUAAUAAAUUUUAAUUUAAAAAAACUUUAAUUUAUAAAUAUUA